GACGAACGCUGGCGGCGUGCUUAACACAUGCAAGUCGAACGGAAAGGCCCUGCUUUUGUGGGGUGCUCGAGUGGCGAACGGGUGAGUAACACGUGAGUAACCUGCCCUUGACUUUGGGAUAACUUCAGGAAACUGGGGCUAAUACCGGAUAGGAGCUCCUGCUGCAUGGUGGGGGUUGGAAAGUUUCGGCGGUUGGGGAUGGACUCGCGGCUUAUCAGCUUGUUGGUGGGGUAGUGGCUUACCAAGGCUUUGACGGGUAGCCGGCCUGAGAGGGUGACCGGCAACAUUGGGACGGAGAUACGGCCAAGACUCCUACGGGAGGCAGAAGUGGGGAAUAUUGCACAGUGGGCGGAAGCCUGAUGCAGCAACGCCGCGUGCGGGAUGACGGCCUUCGGGUUGUAAACCGCUUUCGCCUGUGACGAAGCGUGAGUGACGGUAAUGGGUAAAGAAGCACCGGCGAACUACG
rnacentral:rRNA from 1 species